UACGAAGGGUGCUAGCGUUGCUCGGAAUCACUGGGCGUAAAGGGUGCGUAGGCGGGUCUUUAAGUCAGGGGUGAAAUCCUGGAGCUCAACUCCAGAACUGCCUUUGAUACUGAAGAUCUUGAGUUCGGGAGAGGUGAGUGGAACUGCGAGUGUAGAGGUGAAAUUCGUAGAUAUUCGCAAGAACACCAGUGGCGAAGGCGGCUCACUGGCCCAUAACUGACGCUGAGGCACGAAAGCGUGGGGGGCAAACAGG
rnacentral:rRNA from 1 species